NCUUCCUUGGUCUAGUGGUCAUGAUUUCCGCUUGUCAUUAACACUGAUAAGCGCGGGAGACCGGGGUUCGAUUCCCCGAGGGAGAG
rfam:Penicillium decumbens strain IBT 11843 PENDEC_contig018, whole genome shotgun sequence.